rnacentral:misc_RNA from 1 species
UUGAAUUAAACCCUGGUUGGGUUGUUGCUGGCCUCUAGAGGCAUGUGCACGCCUGCCAUCGUUUUCAACCACCUGUGCACCUUUUGUAGACUUUGGAUACCUCUCGAGGGUCAAUGACCUCUCGGUUUGGGGGUUGCUGCGCUGUCAAAAGCCGGCUUUCCCUGCAUUUCCGGUCUAUGCAUUUUAUUAUACCCCGUAAAGAAUGUAUUAGAAUGUUUUGUUAUUGGCCUUUGGUGCCUUUAAUCAAAUA